GACGAACGCUGGCGGCGUGCUUAACACAUGCAAGUCGAACGGAAAGGCCCUGCUUUUGUGGGGUGCUCGAGUGGCGAACGGGUGAGUAACACGUGAGUAACCUGCCCUUGACUUUGGGAUAACUUCAGGAAACUGGGGCUAAUACCGGAUAGGAGCUCCUGCUGCAUGGUGGGGGUUGGAAAGUUUCGGCGGUUGGGGAUGGACUCGCGGCUUAUCAGCUUGGUGGUGGGGUAGUGGCUUACCAAGGCUUUGACGGGUAGCCGGCCUGAGAGGGUGACCGGCCACAUUGGGACUGAGAUACGGCCCAGACUCCUACGGGAGGCAGCAGUGGGGAAUAUUGAACAAUGGGCGGAAGCCUGAUGCAGCAACGCCGCGUGCGGGAUGACGGCCUUCGGGUUGUAAACCGCUUUCGCCUGUGACGAAGCGUGAGUGACGGUAAUGGGUAAAGAAGCACCGGCUAACUACGUG
rnacentral:rRNA from 1 species